UCUAAAAAAUGACGGGUUCAAGCAACUUGACUUAAAAUAUGACACAAUUUAUCAAAAUUCAAAUUUUAGGAGGUUUGGGAAUGAUCAAAAAACAUAACCAAAGAAAUUAGAGAAUGAAGGAUAGGCAAGUCUUUUAUAUUUGCAUGUUUGAGACUCUACAACUCAAAACAUAUUUCUAAGUUUUGGGUUAUAGAAUCCGAGCAAAAUAGAAAGAAAAAAAAAACGUGGAUGCGCGAGAAGCUUGAAGGGUGUGAUAAGAAAUUUUCGUGGGGGUAUCCUUAACAAAUUUAAUAAACAAAGCCCAAUCCACUUACUCUUUUGAACAGGUCGCGCGAGGAUGGAAUUUCAGCGUAAUUUGCGGCCGCCAUAGCCACCGGCGUUGCACCAGAGCAGAGCUCCACUCCGCCGUCCGCACCGCCAUAGAGAACUGUUGAUUUACCUGAUUCAUUGAUGAACAUUUUGCAACUGAAGGUCUCUAUUUCAGGGAUUGAUAUCUCAUAUCAAAGUAAGCCUAUACUUUGCAAAAGAUAUUAAAUGAAAGUUCCUGAGCUUCAUAUAAAGGCGCAACAAAAGAGAGCAUAGCAAAAUAUGCAGUUCCAUUCUGCUCUGUCUGUAUGCCAUAUGUUUCUAGUAUCUGUAUUUUUCAAUUCAGGUAGUGUGCAAUGUUGUAAAAUAAUGGUCAUAGCGGCACUAUACUGCUAUGCGUAACGGAAUUUUAACAACUGGUAUUGUUCCGCGAUACGCGAUUUAGUAGAAAGUGUCAUCAAAUAGUGGUUAUCACAGUAGCAAGUGGCAACGCUGUAGCAGAAUUUGAACAGUUAUUUCUGUGAUUGACAACAUUAUUAGUAUGUUUAAGAACCAAUAGGAGAUGCACAAAGACACAACCCCCCACCACCACAUACACACACACAUUUGAUGUUCCUCCAUUCAGCCUUCUCAACCGUUUGGGUUUUGCUUUUAUCUCCAUUUUAUUAUUCGAACUAGUUGCCAUCUGUACAGUUUUGUUCGCUUUUUUGCCCAUUAGAGGACGCCACACCAUGCACAAUCCCAAAUCCCUGUUUUUUUUUUUUUUUGGGAAUGAAAGAGAGCCAAAGCCCAUCCCAAAUCCCUGUUUUGUUAGUUUUGGAAUCAGAGCGGUAUAUCUGAACUUAUUUCUUUCACAUUCAGCCUUUUUGCCAGCCAGUGAUGGCUUCAAACAAACUAUCAGAAGAACUCAAAGGAGUUAUCAAAUUUUGAAAAAGGGAUAAUUCAUCAAAGCGCAAUUUCUCUCCUAGAAAACCAUACCAGACCAUCUGCAACACUUGUAAUUAUGUCGAAGCUUUUACAACUAUAUUAAUAACAAAGAAGUAUUAUUUAGUUUUGCAAGUUAUAUAUGUGUUACUCCAUUAUAUAAAAUUGGAGUCCAUUAGUCUAAACCAUAGUAUGGGGAUUAAUAUUUCAUAAGCAGUGUUGUCAUUGGCCGAAGGCCAAAAAGCUGCCAUAUAAACUUAAAAGUAUAAACACACCAUUGAGGCCUAUGGCGCUACAUGGUGUGCAUCCUUUCACCAAUUGGAGGUGCCAUGGCUUCCAUUUAACAACACUGUUCAUCAGUACAAGCCUUGUGAGAAUCAGUGUUCUAAUGUCCCAUUAGAGAAGCCAGUCAUCCUUGCCUUUGUACAUUUUUACCAACAUUCAAAAACAGAGUAGGAGUUGUUGAAGAUUACACGUGCAAACAAGAACAUAUGAUUAUUUUGGUCUGUAUGGAGAUAGGGAAAAAUUGUUAGGCUAAACAACAACAGUAUUGUUAAAUAGCAGCCUUGUAGCGGAAUUUGAACAAAUCACUAUUGUUCUGUGAUAUGCUAUUUAGUACAAAGUGCUGUCAAAUAGUGACUAUAAUGGCACUAUAGCACUGUUGCAUAACAUAAUUUCCACGAUCUGACUUGAUAACACUAAAUAACAUGAAAUAAUAAACAAAGAAGCAAUAACACUUAAACGAUGAUCAAAACAAAGAUCUCUCUUGCAUAAUAUGCACCCAAAAUGUCAAGUUGUAAAAACUUAAAAUGUUUGAAAGCAUAUAUAAUAUAUAAUUCUUAUCAUUCAGAGCUGAACACAGUUAAUAACUGUGUACAGAAUCACAAAUGAAAUCUAUAAAUUUUUAUCUCCACAAUUGCUAGCCUCUUCAUUUAGGAUCUGGAAAAUUGAGAUCCACUGACACACUUCGAAAUUCAUUAGCACUUGAAAAGUGUACCCUCUUGUGUCCACCUAGUGCUUGAGCAGUCUUGAACUCUCUGUCGCAAUAUGGGCACUGAAAAGGUUUCUGAUCUUUAAAAUCACCAUCGCUGUCACUUUUGCAGUAUGCUUUGUGCCCACAAAGAGCUUGAUAAGAUCGGAACAUUUUUCCACACCUCUGGCACUUGAAGCUGACUUGAGUGUGAGCUUGAAUAAUCGAGUCAUCUCUACUGCCUUCAAUGUGUUUUUCCUUCGUUUUGUUGGUUUCCUUUAUUUUUUGUUUCUUGAUCUCUUCCCUUUUUUGUGCAUCUUUGUAAAACCCCCAUAACAUCAUAACAUCUGGAUCUAUUGGCAGAUCUUUUGUAUCAGCUGCCACAUUAAGUUUGCGGUGGCAUUUGGAUCUUUUGCGGGUUGGGGUUUUUGGGUAAGACACAGAUUCUUUUUCUCUGUUUGAGUUUGCAGAGAAGGCAGAGAAGUUGCGUUUCAUAGAUCGGAAGUUCUGUGUUUGGUGUUCUUCAGGAUGGAAAGUCAGUGAGGAAGCAGUUUGAUUUGGAUGCUGGGUUAAAUCGGCUGAAUUAUCUAGAGCUUGAUUGUUAGUUUCAAGCUUUGGGGGAAUCGGCAAUUUGACCAAGUGAGAUCUCAUGUGGCCUCCAAUGGCUUUCCAACUGGCAAACCACUUCCCACAAAUCCCACAGGCUUUUCCGUUGCUCCUCUCCAUUGUUGCUGAAAACUUUAAAAUCAAAAUACUUCCUCACUUCUUUGUUGUGAUUGUUUAUUGAAUUCAAUAUUUUAUAGAAGGGUAGGUUACAAGCCUUUCUUAUAGGGAGGGGAAAACCUACUUUGUGUGUUCAAUAGGCUCACUGACGAAGAUUAGUUGAUGCUAAACGGCGGUGGAUUCGUACCUAUAACAUGGUUGUAUAUAAAACAAAAAAUAAAAUAAAAACUUCCUUAUACAAAAGGUACAAAAGGAACAAAGUCAGAAAACGCCAUAAUAAAUGUAGGAAAGGAUGGCAUGCUAUCGCCUUAUUCAGCAUUUGAGUUUUUUCACUUGACUCUGAAUCUUUAACUUUAUGAGGUUAUACAAGGAAAGUAUAAUGAAAUAAUUUAAGAUUCUGAUUUUGUAUUUAUUUUAUUUUUUCUGAAAGUAUAAAAUUAAUAAAAUACGAAAAGUUAGACAGCGAUACUGCAUUCUUUUUAUUGACAAUUGGCAUUUGGCAAGUUACUAAGAAAAAGAAACAAAUUUUCUGAGGAAAACAAUGGCGAUUUCAUUUCAAAAUAUUUGACCUACUUUUCUUUUUCUCUUUUUUGAUUCUGCUUAAAAUAUUACACUUAUCCAUUAUUUUACUUGAUAAGAAUUUGUGUUUGUUAAGUUCCAGGCAUGUGCUACUAAACAUUAUGUUUAAUGAUAAAGAGCUUCAUAUUUGAAGAACAAAAUGAAAGAUAAACAGUAUUUGAUAUAUUGUAAGCCAGAAAUUUAUUGUAUUUAACUCAGAUUAUGCAUGUUUAUAUUUUAGCAUUGAUUCCACAAUGAAUAUUUCUAAAAUGGGUAUAAUUUUGGUAAGCUUGUCUGAAGAGAAUCUCUUUCAUUAUGUGGCCUCCAUUUUUGUCCAUGUAAAAUUUUACGUAUUUUUUAGCAUGCAUUCCAAACAGUCUGCAUUUUUUGUCUUUGAUCAUGUCUUAAUUUUUUUUUUUGUGGAAGUGAUGUCUUAGUUAUUGCACGUGAAUCUCCCUUACUCUUUUUUCCCUCUUAUUAUGUACAACUUCAUGCGUUAACAAAUAUCGUAAGCUAGUCAUUUAAAAAAAAUAAUACU